AAUCCCAGCAUCUGAAAGAAAGAAAGAAGCAGCAAAAGUGACUUUUGCAAGCAAACUCUGAAGCUGACAAGCCCAGAAGCUCCAUCCAUCCACUCUGGAAGGAAAGGAUACUCCCAGGGAUGAGGCACAUUCCCAGCAAACUCUCCCAACCCAGCCUGGAGGCAGCGCUGGAGCUCGGCUGUGGGGCUGGGAAGGGCUGCCAGGAGCACGCAGCCCCCAGGUGGGGUGGCAGCGGCAGCAGCAAAUUCCCACAGGCUGAUGGCACAACAGAGAGACAAAGGCCAGCAGUGCCCAUGGGAGGUGCAGGGUUAAUUCUGCUCCCUGCCCUGCCCCAUCCCCGCAGGAAAUCUCCAAGGGGGAGAGAAACUCUCAGGGUGCCCAAAAUGCAGCAUCUGUCACCCUGAUCCCGCUUCAACUCAGCGUGGGGGGCCAAACUCCCCCCACAGGUAAACACUGAGCUGACCUGGUCAGUCUCAAACACAGCCCCAGUUCUCACCUCCAGCCUGCUCCUGGGGCUGCUGCCACAUUCCUGACAAGGAGCCCCUGUGGACAGGGCUCUCUCUGUGUCUCAGGUGCUGGGCACUGCAGGGACCAGGGCAGCCCCCUCUGGGGACAAUUGGGGAUUCAUCCCACACCACAGGCAGGACCAGGGGCCCUCCAGUACAGGCUGGUGGGGCCAGAGCCCAUUGGGUUUGGCUGCUCAAACACCAAAGCUUUUGGCAAAGAUGGGACAAGUUAAGUGGGUUUUCCUGUCCUGAGAGAGAGAAGAAAUUGUUGAAAUUAAGCAUGGAAAUUAAGUCCACUGUGGAAGUCAAAGGCUCCUGGCUUUCCCACUCCUGUUCUGAUUGCUCACUAGAGGGUUUUAUCCAUGAAAAAUGAGAGGUGGCACCAAAUAAAAGAGCUCUUUUUCAACAUUUUUCCCCUACUUACUUUCAUACCUAAAAAGGAUGUCCAUUUUUUCUUAGUGCAUUCUUUGCCUAAUUUUAACAGAACCGUUUUUCCUUCCAGGCCCCACUUGUGGGUUAUUUGCUCCUUUGCCAUGGGACUUUGGACAAAGAAAGAAAAGGAUCUGCUCCACAUGGGUGUCAUCCUAUGGGGAACACCCCCUGUACCAGCCCCAGCCUGGGCCAAGCACGCUGCCUCACUUUCCCCAUUCUGGAUGCUGGCUCCAAUCCAGUCUGAGUUUUCUCCUGGUUUCCAUGUCUAAGGACAGGAACUUGUCCUGGUCAGGAUGUAAGGCCUUAAACUGCACCUUGAUCUGGGGGGCUGUGACUGGGAUUCCAGCAGGGAAUUCAUUGUUUUACAAAUAAAAAUUAUUCCAGGGA